CGGGAUUCGUCCCGUAGAGAAGGAAUGUAGCUCAGGAAAUGAGCCGAACCUUAGG
rnacentral:ncRNA from 1 species